AAUUGAGUGGCUGCCAAGUAGGUCAGCAGUUUAGAAAAAUAAAAAAGCAGUCGAUAUCAUCUUUCCUUUCGACUAAUAGAGCAAAUUUUUACAUUUUUGCUUAAAAAAUAUAAGACUUGCUGCUAUUAUAAACUUUUGGUGUUCUAUUCUAUAGAAAAAUAAAGCGAAAAAUAAAUUCGAAAUUCUAUUUAACUAGUGGAAAAAUAAAAAACAAAACUAUGACAAUACACAAACGUGACGAUGGAGUUACACUUAUUACGAUAUCAAUUUACACGGUUGGAAAAUAUCUUAUGUGUUUACUUGGAUUUUUGAUUGUUGUAAUAACAUUAUCAAUUUAUUACUUAUCGCAAGUUCUAAAAGAUGAAAAUACAAAAUUUACAAUUAAACAAUUAGAUGGGGAGAAUAUCAAUCAAACAAAAUAUGAAAGAAUUUUUUAAUAAAUAUUAAUUUUUUAUUAAUAAAAUUCAAAAAAAAAUUAUUGUUAUGUUAAUUA